rnacentral:rRNA from 1 species
GACGAACGCUGGCGGCGUGCUUAACACAUGCAAGUCGAGCGAUGAAAUCCCUUCGGGGAUGGAUUAGCGGCGGACGGGUGAGUAACACGUGGGUAACCUGCCUCAAAGAGGGGGAUAGCCUCCCGAAAGGGAGAUUAAUACCGCAUAACAUUAGUUUUUCGCAUGGGAAACUAAUUAAAGGAGUAAUCCGCUUUGAGAUGGACCCGCGGCGCAUUAGCUAGUUGGUGAGGUAACGGCUCACCAAGGCGACGAUGCGUAGCCGACCUGAGAGGGUGAUCGGCCACAUUGGAACUGAGACACGGUCCAGACUCCUACGGGAGGCAGCAGUGGGGAAUAUUGCACAAUGGGCGAAAGCCUGAUGCAGCAACGCCGCGUGAGUGAUGAAGGCCUUCGGGUUGUAAAGCUCUGUCUUUUGGGACGAUAAUGACGGUACCAAAGGAGGAAGCCACGGCUAACUACGUGCCAG